GAGUUUGAUCAUGGCUCAGAUUGAACGCUGGCGGUAUGCUUAACACAUGCAAGUCGAACGGUAACAGGCCUUCGGGCGCUGACGAGUGGCAGACGGGUGAGUAACGCGUAGGAAUCUGCCUCAUAGUGGGGGACAACGUGGGGAAACUCACGCUAAUACCGCAUACGCCCUACGGGGGAAAGCGGGGGAUCUUCGGACCUCGCGCUAUGAGAUGAGCCUGCGUUAGAUUAGCUAGUUGGUAGGGUAAAGGCCUACCAAGGCGACGAUCUAUAGUUGGGUCUGAGAGGACGAUCAGCCACACUGGGACUGAGACACGGCCCAGACUCCUACGGGAGGCAGCAGUGGGGAAUAUUGGACAAUGGGCGCAAGCCUGAUCCAGCAAUACCGCGUGUGUGAAGAAGGCCUUAGGGUUGUAAAGCACUUUCAAUUGGGAGGAAAACCUGCCGGUCAAUACCCGGUAGCUUGACAUUACCUUUAGAAGAAGCACCGGCUAACUCCGUG
rnacentral:rRNA from 1 species